rnacentral:rRNA from 1 species
ACGACUCUCGGCAACGGAUAUCUCGGCUCUCGCAUCGAUGAAGAACGCAGCGAAAUGCGAUACUUGGUGUGAAUUGCAGAAUCCCGCGAACCAUCGAGUUUUUGAACGCAAGUUGCGCCCGAAGCCUUUCGGCCGAGGGCACGUCUGCCUGGGUGUCACGCAACA